UUUAAAUUUGGGCUAUUAUUCACUCGGUAGCCACCCGCCACCCACCUCAUCUAAUUCUGGCGGGCCGCCAGAUCGACUACCUGCAGACAAAAGUUCUUUGAACGCGAACAUGUGAUACCCACCCACCAUAGUUUUCCCCCUUUUCUCCUCUGAUAAACACCCGUAACCCCUCUCCUCCACUUUACACACACCGUACCUGUUACACCCUACUUCACCGACCGCCUCACCAUCUACCAUCACCCCUCUACCUCCCUCACAACCGCCGUUAAUCCUCCAUCAACCACCGCUCACCCUUCUCCUCUACAUCACACAGCCGCCAACCCCCCUUACAACCACCUCGCGCACAGCCGUCAACCCCUUUACCUCCCAUCCGCCGCCGGUAACCCAUCUCUCUCCUCGCCGCCGUACACAGCCGCCACUCCCCUACACACCUCCCUCCCUACCGUCGCUAACCCUCCCCACUGCCGAACACUUUUUCGUCUUCUACCUAGUUGCCCACCCGAUUACCCACCUACACCCCCUUUUCACCCACUGCUAACCACGGAAAACUAUCAUUUACUUUGGGGUUCAAGUUCAACCGAAAUUGUUUUAACUCUUCGUGUUUUUAGCGAAUCCAAGAAUGUCACGUGCAGGAACUUCAAGUCGGGCCAACAGGAAACGAGGCUGAGACACUCGCUCAGGAAAGGGCCCAGUGGGACACAUGCGGGUGGUGAGGUGUUGGAUAAUGCGGAGUAGAAUGUGAGGAUGCAGCGAGGAUGACACCUUAUAACUUUUGUUUAUUUUUAUCUUUAUGCUGUUUUUAAUCCUCGUUUAUUGGUCUGUAUUAAUACGUUAAACAGGUUGGAUGGGUUUUGGGGUUGGUUGAUACACUUGUGGAUGGUUGCUGAACGUGAUAUAGUAUAUUAUCUUUUGCUA